rnacentral:rRNA from 1 species
AGUGAACGCUGGCGGUAGGCCUAACACAUGCAAGUCGAACGGCAGCACAGGAGAGCUUGCUCUCUGGGUGGCGAGUGGCGGACGGGUGAGGAAUACAUCGGAAUCUACUCUGUCGUGGGGGAUAGCGUAGGGAAACUUACGCUAAUACCGCAUACGACCUACGGGUGAAAGCAGGGGACCUUCGGGCCUUGCGCGAUUGAAUGAGCCGAUGUCGGAUUAGCUAGUUGGCGGGGUAAAGGCCCACCAAGGCGACGAUCCGUAGCUGGUCUGAGCGGAUGAUCAGCCACACUGGAACUGAGACACGGUCCAGACUCCUACGGGAGGCAGCAGUGGGGAAUAUUGGACAAUGGGCGCAAGCCUGAUCCAGCCAUACCGCGUGGGUGAAGAAGGCCUUCGGGUUGUAGAGCCCUUUUGUUGGGAAAGAAAUCCAGCUGGCUAAUACCCGGUUGGGAUGACGGUACCCAAAGAACAAGCACCGGCUAACUUCGUGCCAGCCGCCGCAGUAA